GACGAACGCUGGCGGCGUGCUUAACACAUGCAAGUCGAACGGUGACGAGGAGCUUGCUCCUCUGAUCAGUGGCGAACGGGUGAGUAACACGUGAGUAACCUGCCCCAGACUCUGGGAUAACAGUUGGAAACAGCUGCUAAUACCGGAUACGAGACGGAGAGGCAUCUCUACCGUCUGGAAAGUUUUUCGGUCUGGGAUGGACUCGCGGCCUAUCAGCUUGUUGGUGAGGUAAUGGCUCACCAAGGCGACGACGGGUAGCCGGCCUGAGAGGGCGACCGGCCACACUGGGACUGAGACACGGCCCAGACUCCUACGGGAGGCAGCAGUGGGGAAUAUUGCACAAUGGGCGAAAGCCUGAUGCAGCGACGCCGCGUGAGGGAUGACGGCCUCGGUUGUAACCGUCUUUCUAGCAGGAGAAGCG
rnacentral:rRNA from 1 species